UCCGAUGCUUCCCCCACCUGCACCUGAGUCUUAGGCCAAUUCCAGGUCUCUCGUCCUAAAAUGCUCAUUUCUGGAAGGAUGGCACAGUCUCUGCGGGAGAGAAAGAAGGAUUCAUUUAAACCUGAGAGACUAAAAAUACGGAUGCAAGCCCCCGACUAAUUGAAUAGAGUUUUUCUCAUGGAGGCCCAAGAAAGUGUAUUUUUAAAGAGGACCUUGAAUGAAUCCAAUGUGCCUUCAAGAGCUGAGAACUGUUAGAUUCCCUGCUCCUUCUUUCUUACAGAUACAGAUACUUUUCCUAGAAUUGAGUUCUCAGGCCUCCCUGAGACUUCCUGUGAUUCUGCGGCUGCAGAGAAGAGUGGUUCAAGAGCUGAGGCGCUCAUGGGAUGGGCGCCAAUUCUUGCACGGACACUCAGUGACUGUGUUGACUCUGUGCCUUAUUUUCUGGUCUAUAAUAUGGAAGUCUUAAUUGUACCUGCCUAAAUAAAGUUGGCAGGCACAUUGUA